UCUCUUCAGAAAUGCAUGUGAUUGACGGCAUCUCUGAAUAAAGAAACCUGCUUCUUCUCAUCUGCUGACUGAGAUCUCCUUCAUUUCAGCUAAGUAUUUGAUAGUUUAUUGACUUUAUUUGGUAAGAUUAUUGAAAUAAUAGAAAUUGGUACAAUUAAAGAUUCCACACUGUGAUAUGUCCACUCGGAGGGGACUCUGAGUUCCGACACUCUCUGCACGUACCUUUACCUUCCUGUCUGUGGUAUUCUACAGUGCUACUGCUGAGAUACAAGCACACACAUCCUUCUUUACAAGUUCUAAUGUUUAGUUUGGUUUCUCUGUUUCUAGGCAGUGGACAUUAAGGGAUACUUCCUCGGGAUGAUAAGGGGUCCUGAGAGUCGUUUUUGCUGAUUUAAAACCACACGCUACUUCGACCAGCUGGGAUUCCCUUAUCAGAUCACCAUUGAGGACCAGUUCACUGCCAGGGUGAAUAUGGGAAGGUUACAUAGCUCAUUUCCUGUAACCGGGUGGAAACCAUCAUCGAGCCACUUAAGGAUUAUGUGCUCAGUUCAGUUCUCUGUUGAGAUACCUGACUGCCUGAGGGAAGAAGCUGUUCAACAGUCUGGUUGUACAGAUCCAAACGCUCCGGUAUCUCUUUCCAGAUGGCAGGCGGUUGAAGAGAUCUGGGCACAGAUCUGGGUAUUUUCAUCAUCUUUGAAGGUCCCUGUGACUUAAAUACACAAACCUAAACAAAGCACAGGUGACACCUAUUAGACAUCAUGACAGAGACUGAAAACCAACAAAAAGGCAGUGGGGGCCUCUAGUGGCCAGAAAAAAGUCCACAACCCUGACAGGAAACCAGUAGAUAUCAGUUUAUUUCUUGCUCUGUUCAUGUUACAAUUAGUUGCAUAUCUUACCUGUAUAUUUCAGUCUAGUUGUGUUGAUAUUUAACAUGAUCAGAAAAUGACAGAUGAUUUUCAAAGUCUUUUGCU